rnacentral:lncRNA from 1 species
GAAAAGUAAAAAAUACAUCAGAAGAGCCUCCCCAGAUGUGUUGAACUCCGGCAAGCUGAGGCUUCUAAGGGGCAGCAGCAAGGCACCACCGUGGCUUUUGCAAAUGGUUUGGAGCUGAAAGCAAAGCUUGAGCCGUCUGCACUCUGCUGGGUUCCCUGCUAUGGAGAAACAUGAAAUCCAGGAUACAACUUUACAGUGACUGGGAAAAAUGUCAAGCUUUGAAAGAGCAUUUGUUGUGUCUAUGAGAGAGAACUCCAUCAAACUCAGGCCUUGGAGAGUGCUGCUGUGGAUGGCAAUGAGUGUGACUCAUCUGGCUAUAGAGCUGGAAGUGUAA